GAUUGCCAGUACACUCACUCCGAUUAAGAACCAGGCUAAAGUCUACAUUAGUGGUUUAUCUUUUUUUAUCUACUUGACUUACUGAACGAACCAAAGAAUAAUAAUAAUUCAUUCAGCAGUUGGUUGACAAAGGGCUGUAAAUUAGUUGUAUAUAUACGUACUAGGUACUGGACGUGGCUAAUCUGUACAUAUACUCGUGUAGUGACAUUGAAUGAGUCACUGUAGCGCGUGGCGCUGGGAGAUUGGUAGACAAUGGAAUUAGGGGUAGCAGCCCGCUCUACCAGUUUGACCCGUGGGCCAAGCCCGGAGCCUUCUGGGGGAUCCAAAAGGGGGCGUGGCCGAGGGCGGAGCCUGGCCACACUGGGGAGAAUAAAAGGCGAGCUCCGACUCACAGUCGGGACUGCUGCCAUUGGGAAUGGAACUUGCCAUCCUGCUGUCGUCGUGGUCUUCACCUCUUCAAGCUGUGGGUCUGGAAGCAUGUUGGCUGUUCCUACCCGAGCUCGAGAGGAGUCAACAUGUCGAUGCGGGUCCCGCUGGGGACCACAGAAUCUGGUAGAACGUGCAGCUGGGGAGCGGCAGGUGGCUCUCAUCUAAUGAGGUAUGCGUGACUCUGGGUAGAAUAACCCCCCGUUGCAUAUUAUUGAUUUAAAGUGCAAAACAAUUGGCGUGCACGUGAUGACCACGUUAUAGGCGCACCUGAAUGAGGAACGGAUACGCAGGUUGCUGCAAUGCUGGGGAGAUUUGGGUUUUGUUGUUUUUGCUGUUCACUCCGGAUUUUUGAGAUGUGUCGGAGUGCCACAUACACAAUGGUGUCGGUGAUGAGGAAAAUGAAAUCAGAACGAGCCAAGAUACAUAUUGUUUUAUUCAAUGGGAUUUGCUGCAGAUUUUUGUGGUAAACCAGGGAUCACGCAUUGAGCCAGAUGACAAAUGCUUAGCCCCUUAAUGCAUGCAUCCUCUCUUAACCCUACCCCGCAUUCUCUCACUGCACAAUAUCUUUAAGAAUUUGUUACUUGUACAGUGUUCAUUCAUUCGGUGGUACAAUUCGGAUUGCAAUUUUUUUUCUUCUUUUGCUGGUGAAGCGUCGGCUUAUUUCAUUACAAAAAAAUAAACGAGCACCUAGGGGCUGACGACUGAUGAUCCUUGCAAAAUUGUGUCAUCAUGGUCAAUGGUUUACAUAAAUCAAAAACAAUUGCAUCGAGCGCGCAACGUGUCCCGCUUUACACUCUUUCCUUUAACAUCGCUUCUUGGAACACUUUAAAUGGUCACAGCACACUGCUUGGGAGUUGCUGCUGCUGCUGGCAAAUGUUGUUUUGUUGAUUUGAUGCAGAGACACAGUCCCCAGGAGCUCCUCGGCUUGCGAUCCCUGGCCCUGCAUUCCCAGCGCUGCAUUUGUCAAGUCACUUAAUGUGAGGAGCGGGUGCAUGGAGCAUUAUCCAGGGCUCGCCUUUGCAUUUAUAUGGAGUUAAUGUUGUCGGUAGCUCCGUUCUGAAUUAUUUAUUGAAUGGGUUUCACAAAGCCGGAGACCACUCCCACCCACCGCCCACCUCCCAUCUUUUCCAACACUCACAUUUUAAAUUCCACUCGGUUACCACUGGCUUCUGCGCAGCCUGCUGCGCAUUUAUUUAUUUAUUCCCGCACAAAAUGUAUCCUUUAAUUGUAUCUGCCUCAUAAUGAGUAAUAGUACCGUUAUUGCGAUCGCUGGAGUGCUUUCGACAACAUCGCUAAUUGAAUUAUGGGCGCGCACAGACAACUGUAUGUAACCCCGACCUUGAUGGAGAAUGCAAAAAUCUCGCACGUUCCUCGUGUGAGAUUUUUAUAGGAGGUUUCAAACAGGACACACGCGCGUGUUAAUAGCACACAGCCUUUGUCAUUUGCAUAAACCAUUAGCGUUUACUGAAGCAGUGCAUUGUGGGUCCUCUUGUGUUAGAUUACCAUCAAAAUAACAUUCGAGCAAAUGUGACCAAGUGAUAGCAGCAGUGAUGCAGUUAUAAUUAACUGUGGACCGGCUUCAAUAUAUGUAGGGUGCGUCAGCACAGUAUAGUCAACCAAUGUUCACUGCUGGAAAGCCUGUGGAGUACCUACAUCCAAACUAUGGGGCCUUUUAGCUUGCUUGGCUAAUGCCAGAAAAAGUCACAUAUGUAAAUGCGGGAAAGCUCAUCAAAAAUAAUGUUUCAAACUCAUUGCUUUUCAGCCUGCGGUAUUAUUCUAUGAUAUUUUAUUUAAAUCUUUAUUUGCAGAUUUGACAGUUGUGGGCGGUGAUCUACGAGAGGUAAAAUUGCGCCUCUGAAGCUUAUUGCGCUAUCCACUGCUGGUGCAAGGGCCUCCCACUAGAGGGAGAUCUAGAGAGCCCCCCCUCUAGAGGGUAUUUGACCUCGCCUUCGACUCGAGCCAAAUAGUCAUCACACUAUACCCCCAUUCAUACCGCUCGUGGGGUGAGGGGGGGGUGGCGAAUAUUUAAGAACGUUGAACCAUCGUUUCUCAGCCGCCAAGAGACGGAAUGUAACCGACAACCUCUGGAUCGCGAGUCCACUUGCGCGAAACCAUCGACACCCACGGCAUCAGCCGUUGCGUAAAUGAGCAGGGCCGAAAUAUUUUUAAAAAAAUUCCAGACAACGCAAAGUUGAGGGCGCACGCCGAUUCAAAAACAAACACACACAAAAUAACACACUGGCCGGUGAUGGACGCUCCAUUGGCCCUGGUGCGCGGAUGAAUGGUCGGCUACAAAGCGGGGACGGCACGUGGUGGUGGUGGCGGCGACGGCGGCAGAACCACGCCGUUGGUCGCAGUGCGCUCAAUGUCUGUGCCCGCAGGGGUUCUUGAUCCGUCGGUCGAUGCGGCCGAUGACCGAUAGCGCGAUGGAUAGGAGCGUGAGUAAUGGACCCAUCUUCGGGCGGGCCCGUUCGAUGGCAGGAAAUCCUUGGAUGGGCAAUGCGAUGUGGCGGUCGUGGAGCACGUUCCUCUACGGCAGGGUCGGCGUGGUUCAGUCGAUCAGCACUCGGCUGAUGGGACCACUGAUAAAUGAAUCAGUGCUUCCAACCACCCCCCCCCCCCCCCCCGUCGACUGCACCUUCUGCCCUCCUAAUAACAAGAAAGUCGGCGCCGAAGUUGGGGCAUUAUAGAUAUUAUCUGUGGGGUUAUCAUCAGGCUAACUGCUUUUAUGCGCUACGUAAGUUAUCGAUUGAGGAGCACGACAGAAAGAUGUUGAUAAACUUAUCUUGGCACGCGGCAGCUUUUUUAGAUGGAAAAAUAUGCACUUUGACUUAAAACGUUGUGACUUUACCGAAAGAGCCAAAGAAUAUUAUAUGCACUUUAUCUGAUGCUAAUUGGAUAGCAUUACUGUAUAUUGAAUAUGAUUCGUUGAUGCACAUUGCUUUCGAGCCAUGCACCUUCCAUGUAUGUUUUUUAAUAUUUAAUGUUGUGAUCUAGCAUGAUAUAAUGUUUGUCAACGUGUUUGUCAGUUACAUAAGAAGCAUAUAAUGAUAUUACAAUAUUAUUUUCCAAUACAGUUUUUGUUGGUUUAUAUAAGAGCAUUAUAUAAUGAUUUUGCAUCUAAAUAUAUAAUGCUAUCAUGCAUGACGCGUUUGUUACCAGAAUGCUUCGUGAGAUAUGGCAAAAAUGGCAAACAGUGAAAGGAAUGGAACACAGAAUGGAGUGUUGAAUGACAGGCGCCCGUGCAACACGCGAAGCUGGACAGUGUACGCGUGUUAUUGGCGUGCGCACGCGUUCACAUUGCCCUGUGCUUGUGAGAUGUAUUGCCAUGACAACAGAUGUAUUUAGCCUUAAUAAAAAAAAAAACUAAUUUAAUUUUGUGAGAAUAUUUAUGUUGAACAAAACACAUUGGAAUGAUAAGUGUUUAUUUUAUUUAUAUUUGUACGCAGUUAUUGCUGAAUAUAAGACAAACACUAAUCGGCAUUAUUUAUCACGUUGUUUAAAUAAAUAUGAAUAUGAAUAGUUUUAAAUACAAAUUAGAUCUCUAUUCACUAACGCUUAACUCAAAGAGGUGAAGUGCCAAAAAACCCUAAAUUGUAUUAUUAUGAACUUUGGUUUCAUAUAUUAUUUAUGCAUUUGGGUAUUUAGUAAGCCUGUUGUAAGUACAAGUAAGUGAAGCAUAACUCAUUACUUUAUAAUUUUUCUCACGUCUCAGAGGGUUGUAGUGAAACUCUGUUAUCAUGAGUUUAGAAGCUGCAUAUUACAAUUUCAUACAACGCUGUGGUUUAAUGCUUGCGACCUGCAAAAAUACAUUUACGGAGUAAGUGAACUUGAAAAAAAGAAUGAUUAAAUGCAUCGUCCAGCGUUUAUUUUUUUAAACUCAACUGUGACCAGGAAAUUUAAACCACCGUGUGUCUUGCUUUACAUUUUGUUCGUCCUGUGGAAAAGUCACAACAAAUCAAAUGAAAGCGAUUCAGAAAACAAUAAAAGGUUUCACGCCAGAUGAGAUUUUUGUUUCCUGACCGCGGAAUACGUAAAAGCUGUAUCAAAAUGUUCGGGAACAAGCUCCGAGUGAAAUAUGAUCAAUCAACAGCCUGGGUUUGCUGUGUUGUGGCCACCACCACUGACUGGCCAUAUAAAACCCCAAUGCAUAAGACGGCGUGCCCUCCAACUGACUUGCACUUAGUGUAAGGCGCACGCUCGGAUACGCCAAAACUGCUCCAUGCGUCCGCUUCAAGUUAAGCCGGUGACCAUCCGUGCCGUGGCCAAGGUGCUGUGAUUCAAUAAUUGUGGCCGUGGGCAGCGUGUGCCGGCAGCAACGUGAGCAAGGACGCGAACAAGGUGGAGGAGAAAGUGGAGUAGAAUAUAUGGAGUCGAACAAUCGCAGUGUCCCUUCGACGCCCGGCGGACUGGUAUUUUUCUUCGUAUUGUGUUCAUCACUCGCUACAUUUAGACGCUUUCACUGUUGGCCUGCCCGUGUACGUAUGUGCGCAGGUGUCUAUAAGGUACUGUCAUAUAUUUUACGCGUAGAAAUUGUUUCAAAGACUAAUCACUCACCCCUUUGACGAUAAUUAUAUUUCAUGGGAUCUCCUUUGCCACUACCAAAAUAUGAUGAUGAUGAUGAUAAUAAAAGGGGAAAAACCUAUUAUGAGAAUGAUAUUGUCUUGCAUUUCAUGAUCAUGAGAUAUAUAUGGAAUAAUGGGACAUUGUCAAUAUAUAUUAACAAUUAAAGCCUGGAAACCAUUGAAUAUGAUGCAUGAAAUGCUAACAACGUUAUAUAUUAAAAUAUUCAGGCUGUUUAAAAAAAUGGAUCCAAUUUCAAAGCAGUAUAUUUCACGAUGGCAACAUGUUACAAUUACACAAAAAGUUACAAACGGUUCAAUGAGUUAUCCAGUUUUACUAACUAUUUUAUAAAUGCUCUGUGCCCUCCACCUGCUGUACGGACAACAUCGACACGAUUGUUUAAUUCGUUCCAAACGCCUCUCUUCUCACGUUUUCCUCUUGAGGUGCGUGGUCGCCCUGUGCUCUUCCCCU